GAAAAGACCAAAAUGCCCUUAAGCGGGACUAAGGGGUGAAAAUUUAACAAUUGGAUUUACAUUAGUAUGUUUAAAGUUGUGUUUGGGAUUUAAGUAGGGCCUCCUACCCUGAUUCCCUCCCCAUUUCCCGUAUGUACUCUCUCUCUUCCUCAGACCUCACUUUCUCUCUCCCUCUCCUUCGAACUCACACGGACCACCACAAAACCACCCUAAAUCUAUACCAACGUCAAGUUUGAGACCACCAUUGGAAUCCUGAGGACUUCACGAUCACGUUGGUAUCCAUUUCAGGUAAGUUUUGCUUCGGAAAACCCCUAGUUUCAAAGUUCCCGUGAAGAGCACUGUUCAUGAUCUUCGAAUUGGCUUUGUUUUAGGUGAAACCAAGCUCACAGUGAGCUUAAGGAAGUCCCAAGGAAGCUCGGAGUGCUUCGUUGGAAGUUUUUGGACGUAAGAACACGGAGAUCGACAAGUUCAAAGUUUGGCCGGAACUUUCGAGGCAUUUUCCGGCGAAUCCCCGGCGAGUUAGAAGUCGAGGUAGAUAUCAAUCUCUUCGUCUCGUCAAGUACUACAACUUUCCUUUUUGUUUCACUCAAUUUCGUUGAGUAUUGAAGAAGUUAUACUCAUUUGAAAAAUACCCAGUUUCCGGCGACCUCCGAGGCUUUCGAGGACGUUUCCGGCCAAACCACGGCGAACUAGGUGUUGUGCAAGGUACCAUUCUCUUUGUCUCUUCAAGGGAUACAACUUUUGUUUUUGAAUCACUUGAUUUCGUUGAGAAAUGACAAAGUUAUGGCAAUUUGAAAAACUGCCCAGAAAACGGCCGCCGGAAAAACCAGUCCGGCGACUCAAGGAAGAAGAAGGUGCGCGUGGGGGCGCGUGGACCCGUGCCUUCCUUGGCGCGUGGGGCGCGUGCUACAAAAAAAAUUAAUCUAAAAAUAUGUCGACGUCCGUGACGUCGAGUAGAUCACCGUGGUAUAUUCAUAUACCCAAUUUGAGCAAUAUAUGAGGAGUUAUUAGCUAAGAGUGGGAUUAUGCGUUAAAUAAUGUUAAUUUGGUUACUUCUCUUAUAGGCGAGGAUUAUACGGACGUUGGGCAUGGCUAAGGGAGGCUCAGGGACCUUCGACACGUCGAUGUAUUCUGUGAGUGGGCAGUUUUGUUUUCCGUAUAUAUAUAUACUUGACGUUUCCCAGAAAUUGAAUUGAAAUGAAAAUAUGUUUAAAAUGAAAUGCAUAUGAGUUAUGUGGAAAAACGGGAAGUGAAAUACCAUGCAUAGAAUUGAUAUGAAAAGUAUAUAGAAAUGUGAGUUGAAAUGCCAUGCAUGAAUUAAUAUAUGAUGCAUAUGUAUGAAUUGGUGCGGUGGACGCACAUGUAAGAAUUGAUUUAUGAUGCAUAUGUAUGAAAUGGUGCGGUGGACGCACAGGUGAGUAUUUAUUUCUGUUAUGAUGAUGUUGAUGUAUAUUGAGCUCAAAUCCUGCACCAUAGUUUAGUGCUUAUAGUAUUCACCGCAUCGCACGCUCGCUUUGGAUCCAAGUAGAUGCUAGUCGUACAGUCCACGCGGAGUGGGUACGACAGGCCAGUCGCGAGAGUGUUAGUGAGAUUCCGACUGGUGGGUGACCUUAGAUUAUGUGCACAGAUGAUUUAUGAGAAGCACUAGAGCGUAACUUAUGUGCAGAAGGCCGUACAGGUCACGCGGAGUGACUCCGGCAGAGCGUGAGAGUGAUAGAUUUUAAGCUCUAGGUUCAACCGGGCUAAUAGAGGGCCUCCGGUUGAUUACUUUAUUGCACUUGAUAUGAUUUAUGUUGAUGCAUUCAUACCUUAUUACUGUUGAGAUGAUGUGGCAUGGCAUAAAUUAAUAUGAGAAAUGUUGAGAUUGACAUGGCAUGGCAUAAUUAUGAUGAAAAUGUUGAGUUAAUGAAUUGAAGUAUUGAGAAUAUAUAUAUGUAUAUUUAUAUUUUAUAUUUCUGGGAAAGUAUACAGGUUUUACGGAGAGGGGUUACAACGUUUUGAGAAAUGUUUGGAUUUGGAAAAGAAUUGUUUUACUGACCCACUCAAUUUUGGUUUUGCGCCCCUCCAGGUUCAGGAAUCACAAAGGUGUGGUGACUACGAGGAAUUUGACGGUGUUCUGACAGAUUGGACAAAAUUAGGACUCACCUUCGGGUGUAUCAACUUAUAAAUUGUAUCUUAAAGCUUCCGUACUGUGCAAAUGGUUACGUCACUCUCACGUGACGGCCAGCAUGCCCUCCUUCGGGACGGGGUGUGUCAGUUGGUAUCAGAGCAUGGUUGCAAUCUUGGACAUCUUGAGAAGUUCUAGUGAAUUCUGUCAGAACUACACCGCCUCGUAGUAAGCCACUUAGUUGGAGGAAUUUAGUCUCCCUAAUAUAGCGGUUUAGGGAAAACUAUUAUUAUGGUGAUUCAGUCUAUUAUAAAAAGGGACAUUUUAAGACGGGUUAUGAGUCGAAUUUGAAUCACCUUAUGAAAUGAUGAACCUGAGGGAGCGAAGUAACGGUUUAACCAUUUGGAAAAGAUGUUUCAGAUUAUGCAAGUUAAAGGAAAUUUCCUUCUGACAAGGGGUCGAGACAACUACCUGGUUUUGGGUAUGAAUUUGUAUCCUGGUGGAAACAGGAUUGUUAAUUGUUGUCACCGGAGGAAACAGCUGAUUGAGAAUUAUUUAAGGACUUGUUUAAGGAAAAGUUUAUCCCUCCGGCAUUUAUCGAUGGUAGUAAGCAAGAGUUUGCAAAUGUGAAUCAAGGAAGUUGACGAUAAAUGAAUAUUAUAGAAAGUUUUCAGACUUGCCUCGUUCCAUCCAGAUAUUUGAGACAAGGUGUCUCGAGUAAAGGAAAUGUACCUUGUGCAGCAGGUACAAAAUUAACACUUUGAGAAAUGUGAAAUCAAGGAAUGUGUUUAUGUGAACAGAGGGGACGCAGAAUUGUGAAUCGUCCCUAGAAUCAGUUGUACUCAACAAUUUUCCAUGAUAUCAUAGUGUCGAUUCAGCAGAGUUAUGGACUUAGUAGUUUGGUCGGAUUGACCGUGAGUACAGAGAGAUUUGAUGAGUUAUAUGUUCAGCCGUACAGACCAUGAGAAAUGGAUUCGACUGACACAUGAGAAAUUGGUGAGUUAUAGGUUCGGCCGUACCGACCACGCGGAGUGGAUCCGGCCGACGUAUUAUUGAGAUAAGAGUUGAAUCAGCCGUAUUGAUCAUUCUAGUUGACUUCGGCUGAUAUAUUUCUUAUUAUGUAUGUUAUAUCUUUGAGAGUGGUUGCCUACUUAUCGAGACAACGAUGAUUUAUCAGUAUUGCGGGCUGCAGACCGUAAUAUUAAUAACUCAUUCGUGGAUUCGUUAAGUAAGUAAACCGGUAGAUUAUUUUAUAUUAGUAUUGUACUUAUUCAGAAUGCUUAGUAGUAAUAAAGUAUGUAUUGGGUCAGUUAAUUUUAUCCCAUUAGAUUGAUUGUUUAUAGUUGUGACUAGAUGGAAUGUUACGGGAAACCAGUUACUUUCCAUCGAGUUGAUUAAUUAGAGGUUACUUUGGUGGGCAUACAAAGUGAAAUGAGUUCAGCCAUUAUUUAUGCUGUGAAAGCAAAGAUAUUGUUUGAAAGGCUGCCCAAAAAUACUUAGUUCAUGUGGUGCUAAAUGAUGUUGUUUGGAGUAGUGUGAAUAAUGUCGAAAGGGUUAGACUUUUCUUGAUGUCUUCCCUGAAAGUAUACCUGGAUUGCCUUCAGGCAGAGAUAUGAGAUUCACUAUUGAUUUGUUGCCAGGUAUAGAUUUAUGUUAAAGAUUGGUUCAUGAUGAGUUAAGGGAAUUGGAAAUUCAGUUGAAAGAAUUGGUUGAUAAAAGUUUUAUUCAACCUAGUACAACGCUUUGGGGGAACCCCAGUUCGUUGGUGAGAAAGAAAAUGGAUUUUAAGACUGUUCAUUGAUUAUAGACAAUGGAGUCGGGUAACGAUUGAGAACCGUUAUCCAUGGUGAUGUACUGAUGUUUAUUUAACCAGCUCAGAAGUAAUUGCGAAGAUUCAAAGAUUGAAUUGAGAUCUGGUUACUACCAAUUGAAUAUUAUAAGUGACGUUGAUCAUAAGAUGGUUUUCUGGACUUGUUAUGGUCCUUAUGAAGUUUGGUGAUGCUAUGUGGAUACUCAUGCUGUUUUAUGAGUUGAUGGAUGAAGUAUUCCAAUAAUGCCUUGAUAAAUUGACAUCAUUUUCAUUGAAGAUAUUCUGGCAUAUUCUGAGUCAGAGCAGAGCUUGUAAACGUAUUAAGUCGGUGAAGCAAAGAUUGAGAGAACGUUGGUUGUAUGCUAAGUAGCAAAUGCUAAAGUUAGAUGAAUCAGGUGGCAUUCUGAGAUUUGUUAUAUAUUCUUAAGGUAUUCAAGUGAAUCCUUAAAAGAUAGCAGAAAUUGAGGAAUUGGAACAACCACGAGCUGUAAUUGAGAUUCGGAAUUUCUUAGCUUACCAGGCUAUCUUGGAUUUGUAUUGAUACAAAUGUUAGGGUGAUUGCAUACGUUUCACGACAAAUGGAAUCUCAUGAGAUGAAUUACCCUACUGGUGAUUUGGAAGUCACGAUUACCAUCAUUGCGUUGAAGUUAUGGAGACCUUAAAUGUUGAUAAGAAUGCAAGAUUUUACGAAUCCAAAAGUCUUCAAUAUUCAUUACUUGGAAAGAUUUUGAUAUGAGGCAGCGAAAGUGAAUUGUAUUGUUAAAUGAACAUGAUUGUACGAUCAGGGUGAUCGUAGAAUGUUCUAGCUGAAGCAUUUGGUGAGAAGACUACAGUAAGAUUAAUGUCAGGCACGCUUGCCAAGAUUAUCUUCUCGUGGAUUGAAAAUCAAUUAAAGUAAAGUUAAGAAUGAAAGAUCGAGAAGAAGUUAUACUUGUUAAUUUUCAAGUUAGGCCUGUUUGGUAAGGUCGUACUUGAAACUUAAAUGUUUGACGAGGAAUUUAAGAAUUAACCAAGGCAAGGAAAGAAAGGAAAAAGAAUGAGUACAUGAUUCGUGAAUCAAAUGGUAUGUGGAUACAAGAAAGUAAGAAGUAUGUACCGAAUGCUGAGGAUUUAAAGCAAGCAAUUUUGGACGAAGUACACUGUACAACUUCUGCAAUAUUCCAAAAGUAUUGAGAUCUAGUAUACCAUUUGACGUUUUUAUUGGUCAACAGAUUGAAGUAGAAAGAAGUAAACCUUUGGAUUGAGACGGUUAUUUUCUGUUUCGCAGUGGAAAUGGAAAAACUAUUACUUUGGAUUAUGUGUACAAGUUUCAUGAUACAUAGGAUGGUUAUGAUUGAAUUUGAAGCGAUAGUUGGUCAAUGUACCAAGUUAGUACAUUUACUCCAGGGUUGAGUAACGGUACUUAUUUGUUUUAUAGAAAGAAGAAUUGGUUUACGGAACUGCUAAGUUUCUUAAGUAUGUUGGUUGCGCAGUUUCCGAAGUGAAGCCAUAAGGUUCAUGAAGUGUGUCAUGUGUGUGCUUUGUUGACUUGUGAAUGGAAUAUUUCUGGGUAGAGAAAGAUUCGAUCAAGAAAGAGUUUUUGUAAACCCUGAGACUAUGGAUGAGUCUCCUCAAAGUAUUCAGGUGAUUAAGUUAACCUGAAGAAACCAGGAAUGGCAAAAGAGAUCAACAGAUGAAUAUACCACUAAUCGAGUGUAUAACGUAGAUGAUUUUAUAUUUUUGGAAAUUUCACCAUGAAAAGAAAUAGCAAGAUUUGGAAAGGAAGACAAGAUAAGUCUUAGACACAUCAGAUCGAUUUGAUCACUAAAGGAAUCGAUGAAGUUGCAUACAAGUGGUGAUGUCUUCAGAGUUGGCUAAGGUACUUAAUGUAUUUUGGGUUCGAUACGUUGUCACUAGGUGGCAAAUUCGUCAUAUGAGAUCCUGAUGCAACUAUUGAGAAUUAAAUUGGAUUCGACUUGAUAAGGAACCAAGGAUGACUUUGGAUUGGAAAAAGAAGGUCCUGAGAAUUAAGACAGAGUAAGUGGUAAAAGCUUUGUGAAGGAAAUCAUUCAGUGGAAAAUUAUGUGAGAGGAAAAGAAUCGGAUGAGAGAUUUUUAACCGAAGCUAUUGUUGGAGUAUGGUUGAUUUAGUUGGUUGCUGGAAUUUCGGGGACGAAAUUCUAUAAGGAGGGAAGAUUGUCACAGCCCGUCCCGGAAUUUUAAUUCCGAGGACGUGAAAAGACCAAAAUGCCCUUAAGCGGGACUAAGGGGUGAAAAUUUAACAAUUGGAUUUACAUUAGUAUGUUUAAAGUUGUGUUUGGGAUUUAAGUAGGGCCUCCUACCCUGAUUCCCUCCCCAUUUCCCGUAUGUACUCUCUCUCUCUUCCUCAGACCUCACUUUCUCUCUCCCUCUCCUUCGAACUCACACGGACCACCACAAAACCACCCUAAAUCUAUACCAACGUCAAGUUUGAGACCACCAUUGGAAUCCUGAGGACUUCACGAUCACGUUGGUAUCCAUUUCAGGUAAGUUUUUGCUUCGGAAAACCCCUAGUUUCAAAGUUCCCGUGAAGAGCACUGUUCAUGAUCUUCGAAUUGGCUUUGUUUUAGGUGAAACCAAGCUCACAGUGAGCUUAAAGAAGUCCCAAGGAAGCUCGGAGUGCUUCGUUGGAAGUUUUUGGACGUAAGAACACGGAGAUCGACAAGUUCAAAGUUUGGCCGGAACUUUCGAGGCAUUUUCCGGCGAAUCCCCGGCGAGUUAGAAGUCGAGGUAGAUAUCAAUCUCUUCGUCUCGUCAAGUACUACAACUUUCCUUUUUGUUUCACUCAAUUUCGUUG
rnacentral:lncRNA from 1 species